UUUUACCUUGGUUGAAGAAAUAUGAGCUAAAAGUGCAUUAUUGAAUAUAAAUUUUAGUUUUGCUUAUUUUCGUAGUUCAACUUCUUAGCUUUGGAUCACCAUGUUUCGGUGCUGGGAUGCUGUAAAGGUCUUCAUAAAUUUGUUCCAAUGGGUGUUGACUACAAUAUAUCCAAAAUUUAGCGCCAUUGAACAAGUAUAGCCUAGCCAAACGAUCCAUCAUUUUAUCCUAACUCUGUAAGUCUGUUUUGAGUCACUUUUACCCCCCUUUGGUAUCAUCUCC
rnacentral:lncRNA from 1 species